CCUGAACGUACUGCGCCUGCGCGAACCCUGGGACGCCAGCUGGCUGCGCUAUGGCGGCUAGAAUCGUGUCUGGCGCAUGUUUUAACAUUAUUUUUGCGUUACAAAUUGGAAAAUCAAAGAUAACUUUGCGUCUAAACGAGGUGGGAGAAGCGGGAGACUUCACUUGUUGCAAAGGUGGCCAUGGUCAUCAUCAUCUUAUAUCAGAUGUGCUGGUACAGAAGAUUGACUGUUGUAGUUUCAGGUGCCUUCGCCAUGGUUUACAAACAGCUGCGAUCCUUCAGCUUCCUGAUCCAGGCAAGGUGACCAUAUGGGUGCCUGGAACAUUUGUGUGGUACUCACUCAGCUGACUGCUACAUGUACAACUGUUCCCAGCCUGAUGGUACCAAGGUGGGGCCUUUAGCCUGCAGUAUGGACUGGACUACUGAUCCUAAAGGAUGGGUUGCUUCCUUCUGUGCAACGGAAAGGACCUGCCUACCCUGGUAGGAGCUUCCAGCUGGCUCUAUAUAGAGCUCAGGUUUAGGACAAGGAGUUCCGGCAGUAUCCCCCUGAUCAGAUGGGUUUGCAAACAAGCAUGCACCUGGCCUAUGGGACAUCCUGCUGAAAAGCAUCAGUAGACCUGACCAGCCUCAAGUACAACAACAUGGUGAAACAACGGGAAAAAAGUCGUGACCAUAUUAUACUAAACUGCCAAACAACAACUGCCUGUUUCAAGAUUGGCUAUAUUGGCAUUUUGACGUACCAUUGUAUCCUCAUGAAAGAAUAAGAAACGCCAUAAGGAAUUUUGAUAGAUGGGCAUAAAAGAAUUCUAAAUCUGAUUUUUUGGGCCAUAUGGAUGAAAUUAGCAGGUUUUAUUGCCCCUAAUGUAAUCUUUUUCUAUGAGAAAAUACAGCAUUUUGGUACAUACCACUGCAAUGAAGCUAGUUUUUCAUUUGCAUACUGAUGGAAGUUAACUAGUUAUAAAGUCACGUUUGCAGCUUUUAUCAGAAAAUGAUUUUUUUUUAGUUAGAUGAAAACAAUCAUUUUCUAAUAACUACAGAUCAUUAGCAUCUACCAUAGAUAUAGAUGGACAAGUUUGUGGGAAGAAUGCUUGUGUGCUGAUAUCCCUUCUGCUUGUGCACAGAUGUCUUUCUUUAUGUGUACCAUGGGCAAUAACAUUGUACUUGAGGGCAACAGACUGUAUGAGACGCACUUCUCCACUGGAUCUCUGUGGAUAGUUGAGGAGGCAAAUCAUGUUGUCCCAAAUCCGUUCUCAACUGUGUCUACUAAACAAGCUGUGGAAUUUGAACAUGUUCUUGCCCAAGAAAUUGGCGGGUUUAAUAGAAACACUCUAUUUAUAGGACCAAAAAGUUAAAACAAGUACAUCUAGUAAAUAUGAAAGUAAUGUAAUAAAAAAGCAUUGCAGACAUUGUGAUGGCUGAUGCCGUAAGUUGAUGUACUGAUUAAUGUUGACUUCACCUUUAGUUUACAUGACAGCCAUUAGUUUACAUGAAUGUCAGUUUGUGAAGCUAGGGCAGAUAGUGUGCAGUAUUUUGCUGUCCGUCCUGGGCAGGCUUUGGGAUCUAUAACACAAGACAUUGCUCGACUUAUUAUAAUUCAGCCUUUUCUAGCAUUAUUGUUUUAUCAUGUCAUGAUUUUGAUACUGCCUUGGCAGUUGAUAAGGGUAAUAAGGACUUUUUGGCUUGAGAUUACAUGGACGGAGGAUUUAACAUGAUUGAGAAUAAAAUAUAAAUCGUUUUUGAUGUUUCA